CGCCAGCUGCCCCCUCCCCCUUCCCUGCGGGCUUUUGCACACGACGCGCCGCUUCACACGGGGUAGCGGGGACCGGAUAAAGCCAGCGGGAGCGGGGCGCCACGGCUGGCGUAGUGGGGGCAGCAGCGGUAGCGACAGCGGGACGACCCCUCGGCGGCCUCGGCACGGCCAGGCGGGAGCGAACUCGCGGCAGAGCGGGCGGGCGAGGGGCGCACGCGCCGGGGCAGCGGGAAAGGCGCGCAGGGCCCUCCCGGCAGGUGAGUGCGCGCCGCGGAGUGUCCCGCGCGCAACUUCCAGGGAGCACACGGCAGGGCGCGCGGGCCCGCAUGGAGGCCACCGAGAGGAAGCAUCUGUUGGACGCCAGGCUUGGAGCCGGGUCUUACAGAUCUCUGUGGCAGGAUGGGGCUGGCUGGAUCCCUCUGUCUUCACCUGGCCUGGACUUGCAGCCCAUUGAGCUGGCUACCAAGAGCAACCAUUACUGUCAUGCCCAGACGAGUCCUGGCAGUCACUGCGACCCCAAGAAGAAGAGGGCCUGGCGCCAGCUCUGUGUGGCCUGUGCGUUCUGCCUGUCGUUCAUGAUUGGGGAAGUCAUUGGUGGGUACCUGGCACAUAGUUUGGCGAUCAUGACAGACGCAGCCCACCUGCUCACUGACUUUGCCAGCAUGCUCAUCAGCCUCUUCUCCCUGUGGAUGGCUUCCCGGCCAGCCACCAAGACCAUGAACUUCGGCUGGCAGCGAGCUGAGAUCCUGGGCGCCCUGCUCUCUGUGCUGUCCAUCUGGGUCGUGACUGGGGUACUGGUGUACCUGGCGGUGGAACGGCUGAUCUCUGGGGACUAUGAGAUCGAGGAGGGGACCAUGCUGAUCACGUCGGGCUGUGCUGUGGUCGUGAACGUCAUAAUGGGGUUGAUUCUUCACCAGUCUGGCCACGGACACAGCCACGGCCAUGAGCACAGCCACGACACCAGCCAGCAGCAGGAGAACCCCAGUGUCCGAGCUGCCUUUAUCCAUGUGGUUGGAGACUUUCUGCAGAGCUUGGGCGUUUUAGUGGCAGCCUUUAUUUUAUACUUCAAGCCAGAGUACAAGUUUAUAGACCCCAUCUGCACCUUCCUCUUCUCCAUCCUCGUCCUGGGGACAACCUUGACCAUCCUGAGAGAUGUGAUCCUGGUGCUGAUGGAAGGGACCCCCAGGGGCAUGGACUUCACGGCUGUGCGGGAUCUGCUGCUGUCGGUGGAGGGGGUGGAAGCCCUGCACAGCCUGCAUAUCUGGGCACUGACUGUGGCCCAGCCUAUCCUGUCUGUCCACGUCGCCAUCGCUGGGAACGCAGAUGCCCAGGCUGUGCUGAAGGCAGCCAGCGCCCGCCUGCAGGGCAAGUUCCACUUCCACACCAUGACCAUCCAGAUAGAGGACUACUCUGAGGACAUGAAGGACUGUCAGUCAUGCCAGGGUCCCUCGGACUGAUUGCCUGGCCAGGCGCCAACUGGGGCAUGGACAGGCCUGCAGACGGCUGGGCUGAGUGUCCCCCAGGCCCAGCCAGGACUCUGCCUACCCCAGCACGGACACCGGGUCCUUGAAGAGCACUGGGUCCAGACGGAGGCGAGAAGAUACCAGGGGCAUGCGGCCGAACCCUGCCGCCAUCUGGUUGAUGCAGUUCUGGGCUGCGGGCUGCGGCUCCUGCCUGAGCCCCGGACCCCCAGGCUCCUAAGGGGGGCGGGGAGAAAUGCGUUGGAGGGCUUCUCUGUCCUCGGAACCCCACCCUACCCCCGCCUCGUGCAGCAAAAAGGGUUAGAGUUAGAACGGGAAUCCCUUCCCCAGCUGGGGCCCUCCCAGUGCCGACCACGCCCCUAGAUCCUCACCAGUGGAGGAGGUCUGGCCUCCUGAUGCCACAUCCCAUAGGGCACCUUGAUAGGGGGCAACUUGGUGACGGAUGCUACUAGGAAAUUCAUCAGGACAUCCGCACAGGUGGGUGCCUCAUCUGCCAGGGUCCUCAGAGCCUUGGGCAGGGAGUGGGUGAAGAGGGUGUGGUAAUACCUGGGUAAGGAGGGAGGAGUGGGAGAGGCUGCAGCUGAAUUCACCCACCCGCCAGGCCCCAUUCUUCUCCCUCCUGACCUUACUCUCCCUUUGACCCCAAUUCCUAAGCUUCUUGGGAAAGUCCUGCUCCCUUUUCUGCUGAGCCCUGGCUGCCUCAGAGAGCACCCACCCCAAGUAUGCACCACUCUCCACUACUCUGUGCUCUGUGGCUUGUCUGCAGCCAACGGUGAACUCCCUGCCCCCUCCCUCACAGCUCCUUGGGGCCCCCUUCCCUGGGCUCUGAAGUCUGAACCCAGAGCCAGAAUGAGGGGAGGAUCAGCUAGUUCCAAGGCCAUCAAACAUGGCAGGCCAAAGACCAGCUUCAGGACGGCUGUGGAUUCACCCACCCCGAAAUCCAAACACUGUCCCUAUCCUCUGCAUGGCUCUACUUAAAAUACAACUAGCUGCCAUCUGUUGACUGUGUGCCAAGG